GAGUCUGUAGUUCAGUUGGUUAGAAUGCCAGAUUGUGACUCUGGAGGUCGAGGGUUCGAACCCCUUCAGACUCCCCA
rnacentral:tRNA from 3 species